rnacentral:rRNA from 1 species
GGGCGAAAGCCUGACGGAGCAUAGCCGCGUGAGGGAGGAAGGCUCUUGGGUUGUAAACCUCUUUUCUUAGGGAAGAAGCUCUGACGGUACCUAAGGAAUAAGCAUCGGCUAACUCCGUGCCAGCAGCCGCGGUAAUACGGAGGAUGCAAGCGUUAUCCGGAAUCAUUGGGCGUAAAGCGUCCGUAGGUGGCAGUUCAAGUCUGCUGUCAAAGACCGGGGCUUAACCUCGGAAAGGCAGUGGAAACUGAACAGCUAGAGUAUGGUAGGGGCAAAGGGAAUUCCUGGUGUAGCGGUGAAAUGCGUAGAUAUCGGGAAGAACACCGGUGGCGAAAGCGCUCUGCUGGACCACAACUGACACUGAGGGACGAAAGCUAGGGGAGCGAAUGGGAUUAGAUACCCCAGUAGUC